UAGAAGUCAGGUCGGAUUAAGCCAUAGUACGGAAAAAACUAUGCUACCUGUGAGCCCCGUCCAAGGACGUUAAAAGAAGUCAGGCCAUCACAAAUGCCAUAGCUUGAGUAAACUAUGCUGCCUGUAACUCCACCUGAGAAGGUGUAAAAAAUCUGGGAGGCCACAAACCAUGGAAGCUGUACGCAUGG
rnacentral:lncRNA from 1 species